rnacentral:rRNA from 1 species
UAACAAGGAUUCCCCUAGUAACUGCGAGUGAAGCGGGAAAAGCUCAAAUUUAAAAUCUGGCAGCCUUUGGUUGUCCGAGUUGUAUUCUGGAGAAGUGUUUUCUGCGCUGGACCGUGUACAAGUCUCUUGGAACAGAGCAUCAUAGAGGGUGAGAAUCCCGUCUUUGACAUGGACUACCAGUGCUUUGUGAUGCGCUCUCAAAGAGUCGAGUUGUUUGGGAAUGCAGCUCAAAAUGGGUGGUGAAUUCCAUCUAAAGCUAAAUAUUGGCGAGAGACCGAUAGCGAACAAGUACCGUGAGGGAAAGAUGAAAAGCACUUUGGAAAGAGAGUUAAACAGUACGUGAAAUUGCUGAAAGGGAAACGCUUGAAGUCAGUCGUGUUGUCUGGGACUCAGCCUUGCUUUUGCUUGGUGCAUUUUCCAGAUGACAGGCCAGCAUCAAUUUUGACUGUUGGAAAAGGGCUAGGGUAAUGUGGCACCUCUGGGUGUGUUAUAGACUCUGGUCAUAUACAGCAGUUGGGAUUGAGGAAUGCAGCACGCCGCAAGGCAGGGGUUCGCCCACUUUCGUGCUUAGGAUGCUGGCAUAAUGGCUUUAAACGAC